UACGUAGGGUGCGAGCGUUGUCCGGAAUUAUUGGGCGUAAAGAGCUUGUAGGCGGUUUGUCGCGUCUGCUGUGAAAAUCCGAGGCUCAACCUCGGACUUGCAGUGGGUACGGGCAGACUAGAGUGUGGUAGGGGAGACUGGAAUUCCUGGUGUAGCGGUGGAAUGCGCAGAUAUCAGGAGGAACACCGAUGGCGAAGGCAGGUCUCUGGGCCACUACUGACGCUGAGAAGCGAAAGCGUGGGGAGCAAACAGG
rnacentral:rRNA from 1 species